rnacentral:rRNA from 1 species
UACGGGGGGGGCAAGCGUUGUUCGGAAUUACUGGGCGUAAAGGGCUCGUAGGUGGCCAACUAAGUCGGACGUGAAAUCCCUCAGCUUAACUGGGGAACUGCGUCCGAUACUGGAUGGCUUGAGUUUGGGAGAGGGAUGCGGAAUUCCAGGUGUAGCGGUGAAAUGCGUAGAUAUCUGGAGGAACACCGGUGGCGAAGGCGGCAUCCUGGACCAACACUGACGCUGAGGAGCGAAAGCCAGGGGAGCAAACAGG